GCAGACGACGGGGUAGGAGGGGCGGUAUGACGUAGGGUGCUAGGGGUGGCUGGAAGUACGUGACGUAAAGGAGUCGUAGGCGUGGGGUCACGUGUUCCGGGAAAACGCUGAGCUGAACGCCGAGCGUGCGGGCGAUACGUGCAGACUUGAGUACUACAGGGGAGACUGGAAUUCCUGGUGUAGCGGUGAAAUGCGCAGAUAUCAGGAGGAACACCGGUGGCGAAGGCGGGUCUCUGGGUAGUAACUGACGCUGAGGAGCGAAAGCAUGGGGAGCAAACAGGAUUAGAUACCCCUGUAGUC
rnacentral:rRNA from 1 species